GGUAGGGUAGCGUAGUGAUUUGAGUGUUGGACUAUGACUCUAGAGACCAGGGUUUGAUUCCCAGCUCUGCCA
rnacentral:tRNA from 1 species